UACGGAGGAUCCAAGCGUUAUCCGGAUUUAUUGGGUUUAAAGGGUGCGUAGGCGGCUUAUUAAGUCAGGGGUGAAAGACGGUGGCUCAACCAUCGCAGUGCCUUUGAUACUGAUGAGCUUGAAUACACUUGAGGUAGGCGGAAUGUGACAAGUAGCGGUGAAAUGCAUAGAUAUGUCACAGAACACCAAUUGCGAAGGCAGCUUACUAAGGUGUUAUCGACGCUGAGGCACGAAAGCGUGGGGAUCAAACAGG
rnacentral:rRNA from 1 species